GGGCUGCCCGCUCUGGCUGGGGAGGGCCUCGGCCCCCGCCUGCACCUGCGGCCCUUGUUUCUUGCGCGGUUUUGCAACGUCAGAGCCGUCCACACUCGCAGGCCAUUUUUAGCGGCCUGUUGGAAAGGGAAGACGAUGAAGUCGGGCUAAGCAGGGCAACGCCUUGCCCUCUGAGAGGCGUGGAGGGCCCUUGGGAAGCUCAGAGAGCUACGAUAAAAUGGCUAAACGACCUUCCUCUCCUCCAAGUCACCAAAUACGAGGAGAGGUGCCCGAUGAGCUCCCAGUCAUGUGGUUCAGGGCGGGCUCUGGAAGACUCACAGAGGAGACUCCUCCGAGAAACCAAGAAGGUUUCUGUCCAAGUCGGGAUCUGCUCUGCUCAGGAUGCUCCUCCAACACACACAGUGAAAAACUGAGCACCUAGAGAGCAACACCAAAAACCCAUGGCCAAUAAUGGAGAGCCAAAUCAGGAGAGCAUUCAGCAAAGCAAUUCUUGCUGUAGAAGGAACAGCACAAAAAGCUGGAAGGAAACUGAGGCAUGCGUGAAAGAUAACUUGUCAGUGUUUGCAGUCUACUGAGAUCCCCGCUGCAAGAAAAGGCAGGAUUUCCACUUGCUUCUUGGCCCGCCUCUGUUGUCCAGAAUCCAGGACAGGUGACAAGAGAAGCAGAUGUGAUCUGCACAAGCUGGCUCAGCUGGGUUGGGAGUUGCUCUUCCUGGACAGGCCGGGAAGGGUGCUGGAGGGGAGGGAGGAGGAGAGAGGUUUUAGGGGAGGGGUGCUGAGCAGUCAGGGACCUGUAAGGUCACAUUUCUUUCAGGUAUUCUUUCUAGGUGUACUGAAUGGGAACAUUGUCUGUCAUCCCUAGACUGCAUUAAAGACCUAAACUGCUUCCAUUUAUCUUUGGUUGUUGGACUGAAGUUUCUAAUGUACCUGGUGACACAGAGCACAGCUCUGUGUUUUUAUGGGUUGCUUAGUUCAAGAUCUGGAUGAAAGAAGCCUGAACCCAUUUUUGUGCAAAAGCCUAAGGGUGUACAGCAGGGAUGCUCAAACUUUUGUUUUUAUAAGAACCCACUUUUAUAUUAAGUAGGUUUUCUGUGUGUGAGAAGAAAUGCUUGAACAUGGAAAUGA
rnacentral:lncRNA from 1 species